UGGCAGAUCAUAGGCUGACUUUGCAAGCAUUUUAUACAAAGUGGCAUUUGAUAAGCCAUC
rnacentral:pre_miRNA from 1 species